GAUGAACGCUGGCGGCGUGCUUAAUACAUGCAAGUCGAACGAACGGACGCGAAUCUUGCUUCGCUGAUGUUAGCGGCGGGCGGGUGAGUAACACGUGGAAAACCUACCUAUAAGACUGGGAUAACUUCGGGAAACCGGAUAAUAUACCGGAUGAUAUUUUGAACCGCAGGGUGCAAAAGUGAAAGUCGGUCUUGCUGUCACUUCUAGAGGGUUACGGGCUGCAUUAGCUAGUUGGUAGGGUAACGGCUUACCAAGGCAACGAUGCAUAGCCGACCUGAGAGGGUGAUCGGCCACAUUGGAGCUUAGACACGGACCAGACGCCUACGGGAGGGAGCAGUCGGGAAUCUUCCGCAAUGGGCGAGAGCCUGACGGAGCAACCCCGCGUGAGUGAUGAAGGUCUUCGGAUCGUAAUACUCUGUUAUUAGGGAAGAACAGAUUUGUAAGUAGCUGUGGCGAUCUUGACGGUACCGAAUCAAAAAGCCCCGGCUAACUACGUG
rnacentral:rRNA from 1 species